rnacentral:rRNA from 1 species
UACAGGAGGUCUCAAGCGUUUGUUCGGAUUCAUUGGGCGUAAAGGGUGCGUAGGCGGCGCGGUAAGUCGGGUGUGAAAUUUCGAGGCUUAACUUCGAAACUGCAUUCGAUACUGCCGUGCUAGAGGACUGGAGAGGAGACUGGAAUUUACGGUGUAGCGGUGAAAUGCGUAGAUAUCGUAAGGAAGACCAGUGGCGAAGGCGGGUCUCUGGACGAGUUC